ACAAAAUCGUGUUAUUUUCAUCAAUGCGAACAUGAUGUGCAAUAUGCAUAAAGAAUAUUAUGAUUACAGUGUUAACAAAGCACAAAGUUAAUUUUCGGUUAUGCGCUGUUUGGAGUGCAAAAAAAAAAAAAAAAAAAAAAUGGGUUUUUCCGUAAUUAAUUAAUCGCAAUUAAUGCAUUAAAAUCCCAGCCCUAAUAAUUACAUAAAGAUGAUAAAAUUUUCAACUUUCUGCUAUAGUCAGUAUGUGACUUUACUGUUACACAACCUGAGAAAAAAAACCUCAUGUUUCAUGAUUGAAUAAAUAAUAAUGACAUUGUUAAAGUCAACAGACCUGUAACAUACUGAGCUGUCAUUGGGCUGACUCUGAGAGAGGAAUAUCACUGUGUCACCUUCCACUGUGGUUAAUGUGUUUACUAAUGUUCAAUAAGUCCAGCGACGUGCUGAGAAUGCCACGUGCUCUCAGGCACGACAUGCGUCACUCUGAGUGCGUCACUCAUGACGAGAAGUAUUGAAGUUAAAAAUGGACCUGAGAAUUAUUCAGAACUGCUUUUUAAGUACAGUUGCUCAUCAUAACAACUUACAAACAAAGACAUGCUGAGAAAAUAAAAAUAAUCUUAAUUUUCUGGUUAUUUACUUUGAGCCAAUGGCAGUAGAGACUUUUAUGGCACAAAAACAAUGUAAAUCCAAAGAUGCCACUCAUUCUUACACAAAAAACAAACUUAAAGAUUGAUUUUACAGACAGAUCGUCUUCUUUAGGAGGCUGCAGUUGCUUUGACUCAUUCACUGAUAUGAUGGGAUGUUUCUGUUGUGUAUGUUAUUGCCUAUAAGUGUAGGAACGAGGGUGUCCUCCUUCGUUUACUGCCCUCUGUGACAUUUGUUGCUGCAGUUGGUCAGAAGCAGGACAAUUUCUCAAUUCUUCCAGCAGUGGACAGCUGCAGCAGGAAUUACACUAAAGCUGCUCCUUUGGGCUGUUUUAUAACGUUGGAACGUUCACAGCAUUUGAAUGUCAUCAAAGGAAGGCCACCACAUUGUAAUCACCUAAAUAAGUUUGAGCACGAGGGAAAAUGUGGAGGAAGAAGGAGGGAGACACCACAAAGAGGAGGAACUGCAAGAUGUGCACAGGAAGCCUUUAGAGCCCGUACGAUGACCCCUGGGUGUCCAGCACAUAAAAGCACAUGUCUGGUGGUAACUGAGCCGGUAAUGAGGCGAGUUGUGAGCUGAGGAGUUUGCUGUUGACGACGAUCUGGAGGAUUCUUAAUAGACAGCUGUUGGCUCUGCUUCAAGUGAAGUUCCUGCUGAUCUGUUUGACAGCUGGGACCUGCUGCAGCCUGCACCAGUACAUGUCUCACUCCUACUGCAGAACACAGGACUGCUUUGGUUCCAUCAAAGUGUGUAGAUGAUUAAAGAAGAUUCACAUCUGUUUCAGCCCUGCCUUUCUACACUGUUGCGACUAUUAUUUCCCCUUUAAUAAAAAGUGCAACAACUGAUGUAAUGAAGCA
rnacentral:lncRNA from 1 species